CCAAAAUUACCGGCUUGCUAUACAUGCAGUCGAGCGGAUCUCUUCGGAGAUCAGCGGCGGACGGGUGAGUAACACGUGGGCAACCUGCCUGUAAGACUGGGAUAACUCCGGGAAACCGGAGCUAAUACCGGAUACUAUGUCAAACCGCAUGGUUUGACAUUCAAAGACGGUUUCGGCUGUCACUUACAGAUGGGCCCGCGGCGCAUUAGCUAGUUGGUGAGGUAAUGGCUCACCAAGGCGACGAUGCGUAGCCGACCUGAGAGGGUGAUCGGCCACACUGGGACUGAGACACGGCCCAGACUCCUACGGGAGGCAGCAGUAGGGAAUCUUCCGCAAUGGACGAAAGUCUGACGGAGCAACGCCGCGUGAGUGAUGAAGGUUUUCGGAUCGUAAAACUCUGUUGUCAGGGAAGAACAAGUGCCGGAGUAACUGCCGGCACCUUGACGGUACCUGACCAGAAAGCCACGGCUAACUACGUGCCAGCAGCCGCGGUAAUACGUAGGUGGCAAGCGUUGUCCGGAAUUAUUGGGCGUAAAGCGCGCGCAGGCGGUUUCUUAAGUCUGAUGUGAAAGCCCCCGGCUCAACCGGGGAGGGUCAUUGGAAACUGGGAAACUUGAGUGCAGAAGAGGAGAGUGGAAUUCCACGUGUAGCGGUGAAAUGCGUAGAGAUGUGGAGGAACACCAGUGGCGAAGGCGACUCUCUGGUCUGUAACUGACGCUGAGGCGCGAAAGCGUGGGGAGCGAACAGGAUUAGAUACCCUGGUAGUCCACGCCGUAAACGAUGAGUGCUAAGUGUUAGAGGGUUUCCGCCUUUUAGUGCUGCAGCUAACGCAUUUAAGCACUCCGCCUGGGGAGUACGGUCGCAAGACUGAACUCAAAGGAAUUUGACGGGGGCCCGCACAGCGGUGGAUCAUGUGAUUUAAUUCGAAGCAACGCGAGAACCUUAACCAGGUCUGCCUCCUUUGCACUCUAAAGAUAAAGGUCCCCUUCGGGGAACAAGUGGACAGUGGAGCAUGGUUGUCGUCACUCGUGAGUGAAAUGCU
rnacentral:rRNA from 1 species